GCCAAUUAUUGUUAAGUUAGAGACGGUUCUGUCAACUUUCAUACUAGUCUAGAACUUUUAUGUGCAUAUGCAAUUUGUAUCAUCUUCAAGAACUGGCAAAUGGUCAAAACAAGUUUAAUAAUAAGGAGCACACAUAUAGCUUGAUAUCUGAAUUGCUUCCCUUGCUGAAACAUAUCUAUCAGAACCAAUUAAAUGAGCUGGAAGUAAAGCAAGGGGAUCAAGAAGGUGGAUUUUCUGGUGUACUUCUUCGAGUAUAUGAGCCUCACAAUGAGCUUGUUAACUGUAAUUAUUGCAGGACUUCACUAGUGGAUUUUCACAGAAGCUGCUCAAAUUGCUCUUACAAACUUUGCAUAGAUUGUU